AUUGACUUGGCAGAAACAAUAUGCGAUUGAUUUAGGAUCAUUAUAUAAUAUAAAAUAUUAGUCGGUU
rnacentral:tRNA from 1 species